rnacentral:rRNA from 1 species
CCUACGGGAGGCAGCAGUGAGGAAUAUUGGUCAAUGGCCGAGAGGCUGAUCCAGCCACGUCGCGUGAGGGAAGACGGCCCUACGGGUUGUAAACCUCUUUUUUCGGGGAGAAAAGCGAGUCACGUGUGACUCAUUGAGAGUACCCGACGAAAAAGCAUCGGCUAACUCCGUGCAAGCAGCCGCGGUAAUACAGAGGGUGCGAGCGUUAUCCGGUUUUAUUGGGUUUAGAGGGUGCGAAGGCGGAGUGUCAAGUCAGCGGUCAAAUUGCGGGGCUCAACCCCGGACUGCCGUUGAAACUGCAUCCCUUGAGUGCGCGAGAAGUAUGCGGAAUGCGUGGUGAAGCGGUGAAAUGCAUAGAUAUCACGCAGAACACCGAUGGCGAAGGCAGCAUACCGGCGCGCAACUGACGCUCAUGCACGAAAGCGUGGGUAUCGAACAGGAUUAGAUACCCCUGUAGUC